AAAUUUAGGUUCGCNAAACCAAGGGCCUUCAAAGCCCCAAACAGGUACNCCUACCUAAUUUCUG
rnacentral:tRNA from 1 species